AUUGAACGCUGGCGGCAUGCCUUACACAUGCAAGUCGAACGGCAGCACGGGUGCUUGCCCCUGGUGGCGAGUGGCGAACGGGUGAGUAAUACAUCGGAACAUGUCCUGUAGUGGGGGAUAGCCCGGCGAAAGCCGGAUUAAUACCGCAUACGAUCCACGGAUGAAAGCGGGGGACCUUCGGGCCUCGCGCUACAGGGUGGGCCGAUGGCUGAUUAGCUAGUUGGUGGGGUAAAGGCCUACCAAGGCGACGAGCAGUAGCUGGUCUGAGAGGACGACCAGCCACACUGGGACUGAGCCACGGCCCAGACUCCUACGGGAGGCAGCAGUGGGGAAUUUUGGACAAUGGGCGAAAGCCUGAUCCAGCAAUGCCGCGUGUGUGAAGAAGGCCUUCGGGUUGUAAAGCACUUUUGUCCGGAAAGAAAUCCUUGGCCCUAAUACGGUCGGGGGAUGACGGUACCGGAAGAAUAAGCACCGGCUAACUACGUG
rnacentral:rRNA from 1 species